GAGAGACUCAGUUUUCUUGGACGUGUAUUUUCUUUUAAUUAAAAAGAGUGCAGCACGUGUGCAAUUCAAAUGGAAAAGGCUUUGGCAGCUUCACGUUAAUAAAACAAAGAAGAGUUCAUAGACUUGCCUUUUAGAAAAAGAAGAAAAAAAAAAAAAAACCAUGUUGGCUACACUCAAAUUGGAACACGCGUCCGUCAGCUUGGAAUUGGAGGUCCAUCAAAUGGAAGGGUGUGUCCUGGCUAGAGGAAAAAAAUAUAUGUGCUGCAGCUUCAGAAAAAAAAAAAAGGGUGCAACCCAUUCCUUUUCAUCACGGCCCAUGAGAAUUAACACGCUCCUAGCGGACUUCACUCCAAUUCCAUGGAUCCACAGUUGCACCAGUCUAGCCUUGCUUGUGACGCAGCCAGCAUAUUUAAAAUGCACUGAUUGAAAAGAAGAGUAGCCUUCACGGUCCAGCAAACAUUAAAGCCUUCAACCUUCACCCGGUCCAGCAAGCUUUGCACGAAGAGAAAAAGCUGAUUGAAUAUAAGCAUAUAUCAUGUAACCUCUAAGAAGAAUAGAGCACAAGCCCUCGUGGGAGAAGAAUUGGAUGCCACGGCUUGGGACUAAGUUUUUGAGAAAAAAAUAACAUUCAUUAGCUGUAGAGUGAAGAGUCCAACUGCCAACCGAGUGAAGAAGUCUGGUUGUAGCGUUCGAAAUGAAGCAACGAACCAACACCUGCCACAUCAUAAAGAAAAGCACCACGACCCAAAUUUUGGAGGUGUGACCAGCAAGUCCCACGACAUGUCCAGCUGCAGCAAGAAGGGAUUGCUACAUCCAAUAGCCCACGUUCAUACAGAAGCUAAAGGAAAGUUGCAGGUGUUUGAAGGAAGGUCCAUGCUGUAGCAACUGAUCCCAUCACUUGGGCCGAAGAGAAACGUCCAAGACUUCACUGCACGGGUCCAUCAACACGUCUAGCUCCCCACGCACAUAAGCCUCUGGAUUUUCUUGCUUGGACAAAAGAAAAAAAUACAACAGGUCAAGACUCCACAUCCACAGCCUGUACACAUAAAAUUGUGAUUAGAAAAAGAACCAGGUGCACACGGUAGUGGGGAAAAGGAGCUUCAUCUGGUAAAGUAUGAGUAGCGGGGUUUGAAGAAAGCUUGCGUCCAGAAAUUAAACAAAAGCCCAGCUGCUCCACUUGCAUCCAACACAGCAACACACACAUAUGGGCUAAUUCACGUAUGGCAACAGAAAAUAUGGGGUGCGUCCAGCAGCUUUGGGCAGCAGUUUUGAAGUCAACCAGCAGCUUUGAAUGUCCACCUUGGAGGUGCAAACAACAAGCUUUGGGGGAGCAUCCAGAAGCAUCCAGUAGGUCCAUAUCAUCACACGGCAGCAACCCAUGUGAGCAAAGGGAGAGGGGAUUUUCAUUUGAAGGGCACGCAACCCUAGGAGUGGGGACUGUUACAUUAGCUGAGAAAAAAGAAAGAGCCGCCACUUGCUCUCUUGUGCUUGGUGUCUUUGAGAGGAAAAAAGAAUGGAUGGUUACGGUUAGUUGGAAGGCACACGUUGCUUGAAGUUUUUCUUCUAGGAGAAAACCAAGUCAUUUCAUUUCUUUUGCUAGAAGCAAGGCACGCAAAGUGUCAUUUCUUUUCUCCACUCACUAACCAACUUGUUUCCUUAUAAUAUAUAUUGAAAGCAUCUUUAUUUUUGGAGAUGUGCUUCACUGUCACGGCAUGCAUUAUUUGCGUUUUCAAUGCUCACAUUCACGGCUUAUACAUUUUCUAAUUUAGAAAUUUCAAUUCCAACUUAUGCAAUUGUUGAUUC
rnacentral:lncRNA from 1 species